rnacentral:rRNA from 1 species
AUAUAUAUAAAUUAAAAAAAAAAUAAUUUUAAUAAUUUAAAUUAUAUUAAAAUGAUUAAAUUAGUAAUUUAAUUUGUUUAAAAUUAUUUUAUAAAAAAAAAUAUUUUUAAGUAAUUAGGCAAAAUAAUUAUAUUCACCUGUUUAACAAAAACAUGUCUUUUUGAUUUUAAUAUAAAGUCAGUUCUGCUCAAUGAAAAAUUAAAUAGCUGCAGUAUUUUAACUGUACGAAGGUAGCAUAAUCAUUUGUCUUUUAAUUGAAGGCUAGAAUGAAUGAAUUAAUGAAAUAUAAACUGUCUCAGUUAUAUAAAAUAAAUUUAAAUUUUAAGUUAAAAUGCUUAAUUUUAUUUAAGGGACGAUAAGACCCUAUAGAAUUUUAUAUAUUAUAAAUUUUAUAAAUUUUAAUAAUAUAUUUAGUUGGGAGGAUUUUUAAAUUUAAUUAACUUUAAAGUUUUAAAAAUAUUGAUUUAUAGAAAUUUAAUUGAAAUAUAUUAUAAGAUAUAAUAAAAGAAUAAAUUACCUUAGGGAUAACAGCGUAAUAUUUUUGGAAAGAUCAAAUUGAAAAAAUUGUUUGCGACCUCGAUGUUGAAUUAAAAUAAAUUAUAAAUGUAGGCGUUUAUAAAUUUAGUCUGUUCGACUAUAAAAAUUUUACAUGAUUUGAGUUCAGAUCGACGUGAGUCAGAUUGGUUUCUAUCUUUAAAAAAAUUUAAAAUUUUUGUACGAAAGGACU